rnacentral:rRNA from 1 species
UACGUAGGGGGCAAGCGUUGUCCGGAAUCAUUGGGCGUAAAGCGCGCGUAGGCGGCCAGAUAAGUCCGGUGUGAAAGUCACAGGCUCAACCUGUGAAUGCCGCUGGAAACUGUCUGGCUUGAGUCCGGAAGGGGCGAGUGGAAUUCCUGGUGUAGCGGUGAAAUGCGCAGAUAUCAGGAGGAACACCGGUGGCGAAGGCGGGUCUCUGGGCCGAUACUGACGCUGAGGAGCGAAAGCGUGGGGAGCGAACAGG